GUUGUGGGGAAUGUUGGCUGGCUCGAGGCUUUCACUCUUCUAUUGAUCUACUUUUGCAGAUUGAAUGCAUGAUGAUGAUGAUGAUGAUGAUUCUCAUGAUCAUGAAGGCAUCGGACCAGGCUUCAUUCCCCUCAAA
rnacentral:pre_miRNA from 1 species